AUACGGAGGGUGCAAGCGUUAAUCGGAAUUACUGGGCGUAAAGCGCACGCAGGCGGUUUGUUAAGUCAGAUGUGAAAUCCCCGGGCUCAACCUGGGAACUGCAUUUGAAACUGGCAAGCUUGAGUCUUGUAGAGGGGGGUAGAAUUCCAGGUGUAGCGGUGAAAUGCGUAGAGAUCUGGAGGAAUACCGGUGGCGAAGGCGGCCCCCUGGACAAAGACUGACGCUCAGGUGCGAAAGCGUGGGGAGCAAACAGGAUUAGAUACCCUGGUAGUCCACGCUGUAAACGAUGUCGACUUGGAGGUUGUUCCCUUGAGGAGUGGCUUCCGGAGCUAACGCGUUAAGUCGACCGCCUGGGGAGUACGGCCGCAAGGUUAAA
rnacentral:rRNA from 1 species